GAUUUUCUUGGUUUGCCCUCAACAAAAGGAAAACACAACAAUCAACGGCCCUAACAAGGGGAAGAGGAGUCUUGUAUAGAUCAUUGGAAGCCUGCCGUAGCUGGCGGCGCCGACCGCUGUGCAGGCGCGGCCGUCACGUGCACCACCACGCUGGCGAGCCCCCCCACCCCCCAGCCGCCUCCGCCCACCAGCUUGCCUUCUGUCUCCUGUUAUUCCGUCCUUGCUUUUCCGCACAUCACGUUUUAAGAUGUGAGUUCGCGGCGCCUGCGUCACGGAUACACCUUGUGGGAGGGGCAGCUCAGGGAGGGACGGCAGCUGGCCGUGCAGAUACAGGUAAUGGUAAAGUUGGGUGCAUACGCUAUAGCUGCGCAUGGCCUCGGUGCUCAUCACCGUCACAACCGUCACAAUAGCCCUUGAGCCUGUGGCGGGAUGUAACCCAUCACCCCGGAACCGAGUCAGCGUGACGUCCCGGGUACCACAGAGACUGACCCCAGGUUUCCCCAGGCAUACCCAUUUAUCGACCAUGGCAAAAGGGAGGAUGAGCAGUUGGAUGGGCCGUGAGCUGAGAUUCAAACCCAGACCCGCAGAUUCAUAGCUAACCAUGCUAACCACCUCACCACGGAGGAGCUUUCCAAAGACAUGAAGAUAACCAUGAGCAUGGUAGUAAGGAGCCCCUUCACAGUAAACUCUGCCUCGGACAAAUCCUGAAGCUUGACCAGUUUGCUCUUCAGGUUGUUCACCAGAAUGUAGCUGUCCUUCAGCGUGACAAUCUCAUAACCGAAAAC